UACAGAGGUCUCGAGCGUUGUUCGGAUUCAUUGGGCGUAAAGGGCGCGUAGGCGGCCUUCUAAGUCGAACGUGAAAUCCCUGGGCUCAACCCAGGAACUGCGUCCGAUACUGGAAGGCUUGAAUCCGGGAGAGGGAUGCGGAAUUCCAGGUGUAGCGGUGAAAUGCGUAGAUAUCUGGAGGAACACCGGUGGCGAAGGCGGCAUCCUGGACCGGUAUUGACGCUGAGGCGCGAAAGCCAGGGGAGCAAACGGG
rnacentral:rRNA from 1 species